UACGUAGGGGGCCAGCGUUGCUCGGAAUUACUGGGCGUAAAGGGUCCGUAGGCGGUGCGGAAAGUCGAUAGUGAAAUCUCUGGGCUUAACCCAGAGGCUGCUAACGAGACUGCCGUGCUAGAGUGUGAGAGAGGCGAGUGGAAUUACGGGUGUAGCGGUGUAAUGCGUAGCUAUCCGUAGGAACAUCCGAGGCGAAAGCGGCUCGCUGGAUCACAACUGACGCUGAGGCGCGAAAGCGUGGGGAGCAAACAGG
rnacentral:rRNA from 1 species